rnacentral:rRNA from 1 species
GGUGGGGAUGACGUCAAGUCCUCAUGGCCCUUAUGGGUAGGGCUUCACACGUCAUACAAUGGUCGGUACAGAGGGUUGCCAAGCCGCGAGGUGGAGCCAAUCCCUUAAAGCCGAUCGUAGUCCGGAUCGUAGUCUGCAACUCGACUACGUGAAGUCGGAAUCGCUAGUAAUCGCAGACCAGCAUGCUGCGGUGAAUACGUUCCCGGGUCUU